rnacentral:rRNA from 1 species
AUUGAACGCUGGCGGAAUGCUUUACACAUGCAAGUUGAACGGCAGCACGGACUUCGGUCUGGUGGCGAGUGGCGAACGGGUGAGUAAUGUAUCGGAACGUGCCCAGUCGUGGGGGAUAACGUAGUGAAAAUUACGCUAAUACCGCAUACGAUCUAUGGAUGAAAGCGGGGGAUCGCAAGACCUCGCGCGAUUGGAGCGGCCGAUAUCAGAUUAGGUAGUUGGUAGGGUAAAGGCCCACCAAGCCAACGAUCUGUAGCUGGUCUGAGAGGACGACCAGCAACACUGGAACUGAGACACGGUCCAGACUCCUACGGGAGUCAGAAGUGGGGAAUUUUGGACAAUGGGCGAAAGCCUGAUCCAGCCAUUCCGCGUGCAGGAUGAAGGCCCGCGGGUUGUAAACUGCUUUUGUACAGAACGAAAAGGUUUCUACUAAUACUAGGAGCUCAUGACGGUACUGUAAGAAUAAGCACCGGCUAACUACGUGCCAGCAGCCGCCGUAA